rnacentral:rRNA from 1 species
UGAGGAAUAUUGGUCAAUGGGCGCAAGCCUGAACCAGCCAUCCCGCGUGCAGGAAGACGGCGCUAUGCGUUGUAAACUGCUUUUCCAGGGAGAGAAACUUGCGCACGUGUUGCGCAAUUGACGGUACCCUGGGAAUAAGCAUCGGCUAACUCCGUGCCAGCAGCCGCGGUAAUACGGAGGAUGCGAGCGUUAUCCGGAUUCAUUGGGUUUAAAGGGUGCGCAGGCGGACUAUUAAGUCAGUGGUGAAAUCCUGCAGCUUAACUGCAGGACGGCCAUUGAUACUGAUAGCCUUGAGUUUGGUGAAGGUAGGCGGAAUGUGUAAUGUAGCGGUGAAAUGCUUAGAUAUUACACAGAACACCAAUUGCGUAGGCAGCUUCCUGAGCCGACACUGACGCUGAGGAACGAAAGCGUGGGGAUCGAA